GGAUGAUGUCAUCAUGUCUUCAACAUCUGGAAAACUCCAAUGCACACAUGUGAGAGUAUGCCAGAGAGAGAGACCUACCUGAAACCGGCCUGGGCAGCUGGAGAAGAAUGAGGGUGAGCAGACAUCUGGGCAAGCCGGAGUUUGGGAAAACUGCCAUCUUCGACCUUCCUGGAGCAGCAAGAUACUGGUGUGAGUCUGUCAGGAGCUUCAGCCUAGCUGAUGAAUGGACAGGAGAGAGCGAUGGGCUCUACAGACCCGCUCAGCAGUUCUUUCCAACUUGGAGUGCUCUGGUCAUUUGCAUCUGAAUCCUGCUGUGUCUUCUCUCCAGUGGAGAUUUUCAAACGAGGCUGCCAUCAGCACCCACUCACCACCCUAAGUUUGGUAAAUGACAUAUAAAACUUC
rnacentral:lncRNA from 1 species